UACGGAGGGGACUAGCGUUGUUCGGAAUUACUGGGCGUAAAGCGCACGUAGGCGGAUUUGUAAGUCAGGGGUGAAAUCCCGGGGCUCAACCUCGGAACUGCCUUUGAUACUGCAAAUCUCGAGUCCGGAAGAGGUGAGUGGAAUUCCUAGUGUAGAGGUGAAAUUCGUAGAUAUUAGGAAGAACACCAGUGGCGAAGGCGGCUCACUGGUCCGGUACUGACGCUGAGGUGCGAAAGCGUGGGGGAGCAAACAGGGAU
rnacentral:rRNA from 1 species